UACAGAGGUGCCAAGCGUUAGGCGGAAUCACUGGGCUUAAAGCGCGUGUAGGCGGGUCGUUAAGUGUCCGAGUGAAAUCCCACGGCUCAACCGUGGGACUGCCGGGCAUACUGGCGAUCUUGAGGCAUUCAGGGGCGAGCGGAACAAAUGGUGGAGCGGUGAAAUGCGUAGAUAUCAUUUGGAACGCCAAUGGUGAAAACAGCUCGCUGGGAAUGAUCUGACGCUGAGACGCGAAAGCCAGGGGAGCGAACGGG
rnacentral:rRNA from 1 species